rnacentral:rRNA from 1 species
GAUGAACGCUGACAGAAUGCUUAACACAUGCAAGUCAACUUGAACUUCGGUUUGGGUGGCGGACGGGUGAGUAACGCGUAAAGAACUUGCCUCACAGAUAGGGACAACAUUUGGAAACGAAUGCUAAUACCUGAUAUUAUGAUUUUAGGGCAUCCUAGGAUUAUGAAAGCUAUAUGCACUGUGAGAGAGCUUUGCGUCCCAUUAGCUAGUUUGGAGAGGUAACGGCUCACCAAGGCGAUGAUGGGUAGCCGGCCUGAGAGGGUGAUCGGCCACAAGGGGACUGAGACACGGCCCCUUACUCCUACGGGAGGCAGCAGUGGGGAAUAUUGGGACAAUGGGACCAAGAGUCUGAUCCAGGCAAUUCUGUGUGCACGAUGGAAGUUUUUUCGGAAUGUAAAGUGCUUUUCAGUUUGGGGAAGAAAAAAAAUGACGGUCCCAACAGAAGAAAGUGACGGCCAAAAUACGUGCCAGCAGGCCGCGGUAAUACGUAUGUCACCAAGCGUUUAUCCGGAUUUUAUUGGCCGUAAAGCGCGUCUUAGGUGGUAUGUAAGUCUGAUGUAAAAAUUCCGGUUUUAACUCUUUUUUGCGUUGGAAACAGUAAAAUAAGAGAAUUUGAGAGUAAGCGGAACUCCAGGGUGGAGGUGAAAUUCUUAGAUAUUUCUAGCACCCCCCCCCCCCAAACCAGCUACUGGUACAGUAAUGU